rnacentral:rRNA from 1 species
AACCUUUAGCCAAACAAAUAUUAAAGGCAACGCCUGCCCAGUGAAUAAUUUAACGGCCGCGGUACCCUAACCGUGCAAAGGUAGCAUAAUCAUUUGUCUACUAAUUAUAGACUAGUAUGAAAGGCAAAAUGAGGGUCUAACUGUCUCUUAUAAUAAAUCAAUGAAACUGAUCUCCUAGUAAAAAAGCUAGAAUUCUCCCAUAAGACCAGAAGACCCUGUGAAGCUUAAACUAAACUAUUAAACCAAAUAAUAACUACUUUCGGUUGGGGCGACCUUGGAAAAAAAAAGAACUUCCAAACACAAUGACUAUACCUCAUAAAACAGGCCUACAAGCCAAUAAACGACCCAGCAUAGCUGACAAUUGAACCAAGUUACUCCAGGGAUAACAGCGCAAUCUUCUUCAAGAGUCCAUAUCAUAAAGCAAGGUUUACGACCUCGAUGUUGGAUCAGGACAUCCUAAUGGUGCAGAAGCUAUUAAGGGUUCGUUUGUUCAACGAUUAACAGUCCU